rnacentral:sRNA from 1 species
AGCUGAGUGAGGACCUGCUGUCCCAGGCAGUGAUGAUGGUGGAGAACAGCCGGCCCACAUUGGCGAUCAACCUGACCGGAGCCCGCCAGUACUGGUUGGAGGGCAUGUUGCGGCAUGAGAUAGGUCAGGGUGUGGGUAUCCGGGAAGAUGGGUAGGCAUGAAAGGGGCCUGGGAGCUGGGAGGGGUGGAAAGGAGGGGCCCCAAUAACUCCCCCUUUUGUUUCUCUCCCUUCCCUCCUGAGGUCGGGGCUUUCCCUUCCUGAGCAGCCACCUCCCGCCCUCUGGCUCACAGAGGUAGGCCAGAACGUGCCUGUCCACGCUCUGGGCUCGCCCUCAUCUCUUGGUCCUUUCGGGUAUAUUUUUCUCUCUCCACUUCCUCUCCGACUUCUCCCGACAGUGCAGGCAAGGCUGGUCAGUCCCUGACAGGCCAGAGGGAGAACCCUCAGGGUCCCACCAGGCCAGCCACCACGCGGGCCCUCCAGGGUGGAUGGAAGGCCAGGUCCUGGGAAUGGACUUGACUUGAGGACACAUGGCGCCUGGUUUAGGAGGGGACUGGCCAGUUUGGGCAGGAGGGUGCAGGGCACUAACCACUAUUCCUAUCUGUCUGUCCCUCUUCCUCGAGAAUCCUGUUGCUCUGGGCAAGAGGUGAUUUUUACCGGGGGCAUCAGCGUGACUGUUCAAGAUGAUAUGGGCACCCAGGAUGUUGGGCAGGGUGGUAUAUGUAUUCUUGUGCCCAGGAGGGCUGGGGUCAAUGUCAGUUUGGGAGAGUUCGUGCACGUGUGUGGGUGCGUGGGUGUAGGGUGGGGGGCGGAUGGAUGGGAGAGGAUUCAUGUAUGUGAGCCUUUGUGGAUCUUUGGGUGCGAGUCCACAGGAGGAGGAGCUUCACGCUGCCUGGGGCUGGGAGAGCUUGUGUGCGAGCCUGAGUUCGGGAGCAUGAGGAUGGAAGUGUCGCGGCCAGAGCCGCGGCCAGAGCCCCGGCCAGAUGGAACAGGGCCAGGGCUGGGCUCGCAGGCGGGUCCCCGAACGCCCCGCCCAGCGCCGCCUCCCCUCGCCUUCCCCGCAGGCACCCACUACCUGCGGGGCGUGAACAACGCGCGCCAGCCGUGGCACAACGCGGAGGGCCGGCUGCGGUACGGGCUGCGGCCGGCGAACCCCACGGAGGAGGGCCUGGCCAGCCUGCACAGCGUGCUGUUCCGCAAGCAGCCGUUCCUGUGGCGCGCUGCGCUGCUCUACUACACCAUCCACCGCGCCGCGCGCAUGUCCUUCCGUCAGCUCUUCCAGGACCUGGCGCGCUACGUGCAGGACGCCGACGUGCGCUGGGAGUACUGCGUGCGCGCCAAGCGCGGCCAGACGGACACCUCGCUGCCAGGUUGUUUCAGCAAGGACCAGGUGUACCUGGACGGCAUCGUGCGCAUUCUGCGACAUCGCCAGACCAUCGAUUUCCCGCUGCUGACCUCACUGGGCAAGGUGUCCUAUGAGGAUGUGGACCACCUGCGGCCCCAUGGGGUGCUGGAUAAUACCCGGGUGCCCCACUUCAUGCAGGACUUGGCACGCUACCGGCAGCAGCUGGAGCACAUCAUGGCCACCAACCGGCUGGACGAGGCGGAGCUGGGUCGCCUGCUACCCGACUGAUGUCCAUUGAGGGCUGCAGACAGAGGCCCUGGACAGAAGCUCCAGAUAGGUCCCCAGAACAUGAAGCAGUUUGCUCUGUGCUUCCACGGCCUUGGUGUUUCUUGGGGGUGUUGGGAGGGCAGGAGCAUUCCUUGAGGAGGAGUGGCAACAUCAAAGUGUUUGUGUCCCUUGCCAGCCUCCCUGGGGCCUGGGGACCUGCAGCAGCAUGUCUGGCAAACUGAGUCGCCCUCCUGCCUCCAGCUCUCUGUUGAGCAGAGGGAAGGCAUGGGGGCAGGAAGAGAGCUGAGCAUUGAUGGGGAUGGGGGUGGUUUGGGAAUAGAAACUUGUUCUUGCAUGAGAUGGCUUUGGUUGUCCCAGUACUCCAGUCUCUCCCUUCCCUCACCUGGCCCCUUGGUGCUCCUUCAGCAUUCGUGCUGUCUACCUCUCACUGGGUCCUGGUGGGGGUCGGGAUCCCUUCUCCUGGGGUGACUGAUGGCCUGAGCCUGGGGUCCUGGUAGUAGAGACCCAGCUGGCCUGGGGUCUGCUUUCCGACAUUUUGCCUCUCUCACUGGUCAUGUAUUUAUUCCAUAUUUAUAUGGUCUACUUCCUGUGGCUGGAAGCAGCAGCUUCUGAAGGUUCCAUCGGGGGGGAGGGGGAUGGGGGUGGACAGGACACUCCUUCCUGGAAGGCACCAAUUUUCCCAGCCCCACUCCCAUUACACACACACACACACACACACACACACACACACACACACACAGUGAUUCAGGCCUUGAGAGUCAAGCCCAAGAGCUCCCUUGGCCCUGUUCCCCACUCCCUCCACUGGCCUCUGCUGUUCCUGUCUUUGCUCACACCCUCACAGCUGGUCUCUGGCAGAGGUUGGCAUAGCCUAGGAGCAGCUGCAAUUGCACCUGAGGGACAGGCCCAAGAGUUUGGUGGCCCAAGUCCUGAACUCCUCUUGGACCAGGUGAGGUGCAGAGGUGGUUGCUGCUUCCAGUUUCCCUUCAGACUUAGCUGUGUGAACCCCACUCCUAUCCUUUGGCCUUAGUUUUCCCAUCUGUAAAACUCAGAAAUGCAGUUGGAAAGUCCUUAUUCAUUUAGUAAGCGAAUAUAUUAUAAUAUGUAUAGAGCGCCUUUUGUGUAAGUUACUGGUCAGAAUCCUCACUGAGCUCCCAGUCCAGAGGGAAGCCAGACAAUUAAAACAGUAAUGAC